GAUGAACGCUGGCGGCGUGCCUAAUACAUGCAAGUCGAGCGAACGGACGAGAAGCUUGCUUCUCUGAUGUUAGCGGCGGACGGGUGAGUAACACGUGGAUAACCUACCUAUAAGACUGGGAUAACUUCGGGAAACCGGAGCUAAUACCGGAUAAUAUUUUGAACCGCAUGGUUCAAAAGUGAAAGACGGUCUUGCUGUCACUUAUAGAUGGAUCCGCGCUGCAUUAGCUAGUUGGUAAGGUAACGGCUUACCAAGGCAACGAUGCAUAGCCGACCUGAGAGGGUGAUCGGCCACACUGGAACUGAGACACGGUCCAGACUCCUACGGGAGGCAGCAGUAGGGAAUCUUCCGCAAUGGGCGAAAGCCUGACGGAGCAACGCCGCGUGAGUGAUGAAGGUCUUCGGAUCGUAAAACUCUGUUAUUAGGGAAGAACAUAUGUGUAAGUAACUGUGCACAUCUUGACGGUACCUAAUCAGAAAGCCACGGCUAACUACGUGCCAGCAGCCGCGGUAAUACGUAGGUGGCAAGCGUUAUCCGGAAUUAUUGGGCGUAAAGCGCGCGUAGGCGGUUUUUUAAGUCUGAUGUGAAAGCCCACGGCUCAACCGUGGAGGGUCAUUGGAAACUGGAAAACUUGAGUGCAGAAGAGGAAAGUGGAAUUCCAUGUGUAGCGGUGAAAUGCGCAGAGAUAUGGAGGAACACCAGUGGCGAAGGCGACUUUCUGGUCUGUAACUGACGCUGAUGUGCGAAAGCGUGGGGAUCAAACAGGAUUAGAUACCCUGGUAGUCCACGCCGUAAACGAUGAGUGCUAAGUGUUAGGGGGUUUCCGCCCCUUAGUGCUGCAGCUAACGCAUUAAGCACUCCGCCUGGGGAGUACGACCGCAAGGUUGAAACUCAAAGGAAUUGACGGGGACCCGCACAAGCGGUGGAGCAUGUGGUUUAAUUCGAAGCAACGCGAAGAACCUUACCAAAUCUUGACAUCCUUUGACAACUCUAGAGAUAGAGCCUUCCCCUUCGGGGGACAAAGUGACAGGUGGUGCAUGGUUGUCGUCAGCUCGUGUCGUGAGAUGUUGGGUUAAGUCCCGCAACGAGCGCAACCCUUAAGCUUAGUUGCCAUCAUUAAGUUGGGCACUCUAAGUUGACUGCCGGUGACAAACCGGAGGAAGGUGGGGAUGACGUCAAAUCAUCAUGCCCCUUAUGAUUUGGGCUACACACGUGCUACAAUGGACAAUACAAAGGGCAGCGAAACCGCGAGGUCAAGCAAAUCCCAUAAAGUUGUUCUCAGUUCGGAUUGUAGUCUGCAACUCGACUACAUGAAGCUGGAAUCGCUAGUAAUCGUAGAUCAGCGUGCUACGGUGAAUACGUUCCCGGGUCU
rnacentral:rRNA from 1 species